UUAAGUUCCAGCUGGCGCUGGGUCCAGUACCACUACAAGAAAUUUUCCUUCUCGCGGGGAGCGAAAUCCCCCAUUUCCCCUGUUUUCUCGCAGCAAAUUUUCAGAAACUGCAAUAAUUACUCUUCACUAAUCGGUCGAAAGUAAAACGUCUGGUCAGUUGAUUUUUGGUGAUAAAUCAUCAGCGGCCACAAUUGCUGAACCUAACUCGGCGGUUCAUCUCUCGCAGCAAAAUCGCCUUGCCAAUUUGGGAGAAGGGCAAUUAAGGUGAUGAGGCGUCGCAAAUUUGGGGCGAUUUACGGCGAUUUUGCAGGUCCGUAAAAUCCAGAUUUCAGAGAAUUUGGGGCUGGCCGCAAAGAAGCUUUCUUCCCAAGGUUGCGGUGAAUUUAUAGACGCCGCAAAUUCAAGGAUUUUACAUACGGUGAAAGAUCGAGAUCCCCGCAUUUUUUUUUAUUCAACAUGCGGUGAAUUUGAUUAUGACGCCGCAAGAAGAUGGUGCUGAUCCAUACGGUGAAAUAGCGAGAUCCCUGCAUUUGGUUUUGAUUCUACAUGCGGUGAAUUAGAUUACCACGCCGCAAUCUCAGAUGGAUUUUACAUACGGUGAGCAUGUAUGGCGCAGGAAAUGCCAAUUAAUAUCUCCGCGCGCUUGCUUACAAAUUUACAGCUGUGUGGGUUAAUGGAUAUGUGGUGAAUAAAUUAUAAGAACCCACUCGGUUUAUUAGAUUGAUGGGUUUUCUGAACGGUGGCUUCAAACAAUAGUUGAUCAAAGCAAAUUUAUGGGUUUUUGGUUCACUGAUGCAGCACGUCGUUGCAGGAAUUUAUGGGUUUUUGGAUUCGAUGGCUUCAAUUUCUGCUUUACGUUAUUUAAAGCUGAUGUUCUUCACCCAGAGAAAGAGAAAGGCAAGGAAAGCAAUCAAAUUACAUGAAGGAUUUGGCCAUACUGGGCGAGCCAUGUAUUACAGCUAGCACCAAGAUCCCACAAAAGUAGAUGAACCGCAAUCCCACCAAAAGUAGAUGAUCAUUUGACAGUUACAUAAUUUUUGUACGUACAGCUAAAUUACUUGUGUCUUCCAUGUAUAAAUCAUCUACUCAUGUAUAUAUGUGUAUGAGAUCAUCAAUGAAAAAUAUACGGAAAUUAUUCUUCAA